UACGGAGGGAGCUAGCGUUGUUCGGAAUUACUGGGCGUAAAGCGCACGUAGGCGGCUAUUCAAGUCGGGGGUGAAAGCCCGGGGCUCAACCCCGGAACUGCCCUCGAAACUAGAUAGCUAGAAUCUUGGAGAGGUCAGUGGAAUUCCGAGUGUAGAGGUGAAAUUCGUAGAUAUUUCGGAAGAACACCAGUGGCGAAGGCGACUGACUGGACAAGUAUUGACGCUGAGGUGCGAAAGCGUGGGGAGCAAACAGGG
rnacentral:rRNA from 1 species